UGCCAGCCGCCGCGGUAAUACGGAGGGAGCUAGCGUUGUUCGGAAUUACUGGGCGUAAAGCGUGCGUAGGCGGAUCGACAAGUUGGGGGUGAAAUCCCGGGGCUUAACCCCGGAACUGCCCUCAAAACUGUCGAUCUAGAGACCGGGAGAGGUAAGCGGAAUUCCUAGUGUAGAAGUGGAAUUUGUAAAUAUUAGAAGGACCUCCAGUAGCGAAGGCGAUUAUCUGGGUCUAUACUGACGUUGAGAUACGAAAGCAUGGGGAGCAAACAGGAUUAGAUA
rnacentral:rRNA from 1 species